rnacentral:rRNA from 1 species
GACGGGUGAGUAAUGUCUGGGAAACUGCCUGAUGGAGGGGGAGUAACUACUGGAAACGGUAGCUAAUACCGCAUAACGUCGCAAGACCAAAGAGGGGGACCUUCGGGCCUCUUGCCAUCAGAUGUGCCCAGAUGGGAUUAGCUAGUAGGUGGGGUAACGGCUCACCUAGGCGACGAUCCCUAGCUGGUCUGAGAGGAUGACCAGCCACACUGGAACUGAGACACGGUCCAGACUCCUACGGGAGGCAGCAUG